UGUGUAUCGAUUUUUGAGUGAAGUGAACGUAGUGUUCGUGUCCUUUAGUUUAGUGACGUUUGUUAGAAAAAUAUCUGUGAAUGGGAUUGUGUAACAAGAUAAAACGUUUACUUGGUGUGUGAUUUUCCUUAAAGGAUGACGAAGGACAGGUUAGCGGCGCUUCAAGCGGCGCAAAGCGACGAUGACGAUGUCGGGCCUGACGAUGUCAAUGUCGCCGUUGAAGGCGGCUUCAUGGAUGAAUUCUUUAGUGAGGUGGAAGAGAUACGAGAGAUGAUAGACAAGAUUCAGGCUAACGUCGAAGAGGUGAAGAAGAAGCACAGCGCCAUUUUAUCAGCGCCGCAAUCAGAUGAAAAAACAAAGCACGAAUUAGAAGAUCUCAUGGCUGAUAUUAAGAAAACUGCCAACAAAGUCAGAGGAAAAUUAAAACACAUAGAGCAGAACAUCGAACAGGAGGAACACUCGAACAAAUCGUCAGCGGAUCUCAGGAUAAGAAAGACACAACACUCGACAUUGUCUCGUAAGUUCGUGGAAGUAAUGACGGAAUACAACCGCACGCAGACCGACUACCGAGAUCGUUGCAAAAGCAGGAUACAGCGGCAACUUGAGAUCACUGGCCGCACCACCACAGACGAUGAGCUUGAAGAGAUGUUGGAACAGCCUAAUCCCGCCGUGUUCACUCAGGGAAUCAUAAUGGAGACGCAGCAGGCCAAACAGACGCUGGCGGACAUAGAGGCGCGACAUGCCGACAUUAUCAAGCUGGAGACGUCCAUCCGCGAGCUACACGACAUGUUCAUGGACAUGGCAAUGCUCGUCGAGAGUCAGGGUGAAAUGAUCGACCGCAUUGAAUAUCAUGUAGAGCACGCUGUGGACUAUGUCCAAACUGCCACACAAGACACAAAGAAGGCCCUAAAAUAUCAGAGCAAAGCUCGACGGAAGAAGAUCAUGAUCCUAGUGUGUCUGCUGAUACUGGGACUCGUGGUUGUGGGCUACGUGUCCAGUUACUUCAUAUGAGACCACAAGCGCGCGACACACGAAUGCUCAAAGGUAACCCGCGCACGGCGAGCUGAAGGAACGCGCGUGCGCGCCGCCUCACGCGGCAUUUUAGCGUGUCGUGUCGCGCGCGCGCUUCACGGACGCUCGCAUGCAAUUCUAGCUACUAAUAUGUGUCGUCUUUGUCUUGUCCAUUGCAGAAGAAGAUAAUGAUUAUGCUGUGCCUACUGGUUCUUGGCCUCAUUGCGACUGGCUACGUCUAUAACACGUUCUUCUAAGCGGGGCAAGGGGCAGGACUGUCAAGCAAAUAAGAAAUGCAUAAGUUCAUUUGGUGCCUGCAUCCCGCUUGGCAAGCGACAGCCUGCUGCAACCGAGCUAUCAACCAGUAAUCAGCCAUUAUUACACCUAUUAUAUAUCGUUGCGACUAUUUCUUCAGUUUGUCCCCGAAAGCGACCUCGGCAUACACCAAUCGCUCCCGCCGAGUUGUCGCCCUAUCGCUGACUCACUAUUGUUGAAGUUUAUUGUACAUUCAUCAGUAUCAUAUGUAUAUCAUAUUAAACGUUGGCUCUAAUAUACAUUAUAAGUAGUUAUCUUUAACAUAAAUCUUAUAUAUUCCUAAUAUUUUCGUUACAUCAGAAUUGUUUACAUACAUAAUUUUAGAAUGCAAUUAUUCAUAAAACAUAGUUAGUAUGUACGUAGUUUAUACCAUAAUUAGGACGUCAUUUUCGAAGUAAUUUUAUAAUCAAGCUAUCCACUGCUGACUAUUCAUAUUGAUUAUAGAAAUUAUAAUCGUAAAAUAACACCAAAAAUAAAUGUUCGCCAGUGGAAUUAUAAAAAAUAUUUUGGUGAAAAAUUGGCAAAGCAAGCUUAAGUCUAUAUCGUUUAAAAUUUCCUACUUUACGAUUAAAACAAUAUCGUAUCGUAAUUAAAUAGUUUAUAUCCAUUAAGAUUUUUUUUAAAUUAAAUCAUCGAUAUACCUAUUAACGUAAGUUCCAACAGUGUCAAACGCCUCGAUACCAAUCCUUAAGCUACGUUAAACGUAGCGCGUUUUGAAAUAUUACAUUCAAUCGUCAAGUGUUACUUUCUACCGGCCCGGUGGACAACAGACGUUUAAAAUUGCAAGUAUUCAGAUCAUAAAUUGUAAAUAUCAACUUGCGUCAAAACGAUCAGGGAAUCGAAUGAUGGACUGGCGUCAAAUUAGUGAAGACGAAGCGGGGAGGUGAGGAGUAGCGUGCACAGUGCACAUGCACGCGGGCGUCGGGAACGUAGUUGGCUAUCUCCUGACGCUGGAGAGGGUGCACAGUACAAAGGGCGGCAGUGUUGUGGUGGAGUUCGGCUGCUGCCCGUGCGCAUAUCGCGCGGCGCGACUGUGUACGCGCCGGCGCCCUAGCAAUAAUGUUCGAUUACAAUUGUAACAAUUGUUUUAACUUUCGAAUGUGUGAUAGUAGAUGCAGUUGUUGUUUAGUUAACUUUAACAUUAUAAUAUACUUAAUAAUUAAUGAAUUGUUAUUGUGAGUGUAACUUUUAAUAACCAGUAAGAGUAAUUAAACUUUUCAAUAUACUGAAAUAGUGAUACAGUCUUGUAUGUUCUGGCGCUUUCUAUCAGAUCAGGAUAAUAGAAUGAGGUGAAAUAUUCUGAUUUCUUACCUCUUAUGACGCUCCUCGUUGUACAGUAUAAUAAUACAUAUUGUAGCCGUUUUAGCUAGGGUAAAUAAAAAGAAUUAAAGUAUUUACUACCUGACCUUCAGCAAUAUAAGAAGUAAAUGUUAGUAGUCAUUAUUUUGUUGAUAAUUACGAUUACAGUCAUAGAUCAAUCACUCGAAAAUUUAAAGCACCAACAUAUUAGUAGCGUUUUCCUAUAAGCGUAUGAAUAAAUUAUAAAUUAUAUUUGCAAUGAAUUAAAUGUAGUCGUGUCACGUCCAAGCGUGGCAACAUAGUGCAGUGCGCGAGAGUAACAAGGGCACUUGAUACCGCCAAACGAGUGCCAUGCCCUGUGCCCACACUGCUCUUGUAACCGCUCAUUGACCAGUGUGCACGACGAACACGACGCAUCGCGUGAAUAACAUGAAGCAAUGUUAAUUUUAACAUUUAUAGCAUAAUUAGAAUUUUAUCCCUAAGUGUAGGAUUUCAUCUAGUUGCCUUCGUAACAGUAGAGAAAUUAGGGUAUAUAUACCUUUUCUCUGAGUAGCUUCAUCGUAACGUGAGGUCAACCAAUUUCCACUCGCCAGUCAAUUGUCUCGUUGUCUUCCGCGCCGCCGGGCGCCGGGCGGGGGCACGCGUUUGCCGCAGGCUUUAUGCUAAUUGCAUCCAAUCCAUUAUAUUCCUAGUCUAAGCAAAAUAUUUACUGUCGCGUUUUUUGGGUGCUGGCAAUUGACUUACUACGCUGAUGUCAGUAAUGCAGGUUCCGUCAAAAGCACUCCGCACAAGUCACGAGGUUUACACCCGCAGCUAUACAGCACGAAGAGCUUUGCUCGAAAUUUACGUAAGGUGCUUCGUGGCCAUUUCGUACCUGUAUGUAAUAUAAAUUGUUAAUACGCGUAAACAAACUUCUAGUUGGCUUUCAAUAACGAUCUUAAAUACUCCAAUAACGUUUAUCUUAUAAAUAUAGCAAUUUACAUUCUGUUACUAGUUGUAAAUAUGCGUCGCGGUAGUAUUGAAAUACGGGCCGCGAGCAUCUCGUCUCGGAGUUAUCGUAAAGCAUAGAUAUUUUCAUAAUCAAUAGUAUGCAUAUUGUUGGUUGGAUUGCUAAUUUUGUAUAAGUACACAAUUAGUAUAGUUUAUAUACUUAUGUGUCAAUUCUUAUAGCGUUUUAUUACAAUAACAGAUAUAGCUAGUAAGUGUUGACAGUAAACCACGAAUAAUAAUUAUAGUGGAUGUUUAUUAAGCUUAUUCAUCUACUUUGUGUUCAAUAUCGAAUGAAUGAAGUUUUUGGAGGAGAGUAUGUUCAGUGAAGGCGUAGAUUGAAACUCGUCUCAUUGAAUUAGGAUUUUAUCUAAUAAAUCUGUUCCUGUGUCCUUUCUAAAGAACGUCAAGUCUUAUCGUAUUACAGUAUUGUGAAGGUAUUAAAAAAACAACGAACAAACAAAUGCAUUUGACUUGAUGAAUUUACUAUACCUUACACUCUUUAGAACUCCUUUUACUGAUGAAAACGAUUUGUAAAAUAGUAUGAAACGUUUUCUGGCAUUAGUUGACGCCAACAAGUGUAUCACGAAUAUAGGACGUACUUCCUACAUUUGGUACUUUUACAUGUCAGCUUAAUAUUUAAAUAUUGUAUUCUAAGAGCAUUAUUGUAUUACAUCUUCACAAGCCAUUCUUUCAUCAGUAGAGUCGCUAGACAUCAACUUGUAGUUAAAUGUUCGUAACUAUCAAGUUAUCCUCGAUUCGUGCUUUCUUUUAAACUACUUGAUGUUACUUGGCGUUGAAUAAUGAGAAUAACAUUGAGAAUAUACUUUUUAAAGUUUAUAAUUUUUUUUAAUCAUGUUGGUUUUUAUACAUAAACCUAGUUUAGUUAUAACUGUUCAAAUAGAAUAGUAAUUUCCGUUUCACGGAAGAGUUUCUUGUACCUGUAUUUCAGAAGUUAAUAUUUAUUCUUCUCUAAUAUAAAUUGUCU